GACGAACGCUGGCGGCGUGCUUAACACAUGCAAGUCGAACGGAAAGGCCCUGCUUUUGUGGGGUGCUCGAGUGGCGAACGGGUGAGUAACACGUGAGUAACCUGCCCUUGACUUUGGGAUAACUUCAGGAAACUGGGGCUAAUACCGGCUAGGAGCUCCUGCUGCAUGGUGGGGGUUGGAAAGUUUCGGCGGUUGGGGAUGGACUCGCGGCUUAUCAGCUUGUUGGUGGGGUAGUGGCUUACCAAGGCUUUGACGGGUAGCCGGCCUGAGAGGGUGACCGGCCACAUUGGGACUGAGGUACGGCCCAGACUCCUACGGGAGGCAGCAGUGGGGAAUAUUGCACAAUGGGCGGAAGCCUGAUGCAGCAACGCCGCGUGCGGGAUGACGGCCUUCGGGUUGUAAACCGCUUUCGCCUGUGACGAAGCGUGAGUGACGGUAAUGGGUAAAGAAGCACCGGCUAACUACGUG
rnacentral:rRNA from 1 species